AUGAGGUGCCCUGCUCAGCUCCUGGGGCUGGUUAUGCUUUGGAUCCCUGGAUCCAGUGGAGACAUUGUGAAGACACAGACUCCACUCUCCUUGCCUAUUGCUCCUGGAGAGUCGGCCUCCAUCUCUUGCAGGUCUAGUCAGAGCCUCUUACAUAGUGAUGGAAACACCUACUUGGAGUGGUACCUACAGAAGCCAGGCCAGGCUCCACAACUCCUGAUCUAUGAGGUUUCUAACCGGUAUUCUGGGGUCCCAGACAGGUUCAGUGGCAUUGGGUCAGGGACAGAUUUCACACUCAAAAUCAGCAGAGUAGAGCCUGAGGAUGUUGGAGUUUAUUACUGUAUGCAAGGUUUACAGUUUCCUCCCACAGUGAUACAGCCCUUAACAAAAACCAGCCCCCGUGAUGUGCCCCAGCUGCCCUCAUGUGUUGCAUGUCUGGGAGCAGCACAGCACGUUCUCUGA